CAGCCCAUGAGGUUUGCCAGGUUGGGCUCCCUGGCUUGUGGCUGCAUUACAUUUUUAUAAUUCUGUCAUGAUUCAGAGAUGUUAAGUAAGUUGGUGCUUGAGAUAGAAAGGUUUAGGACAAUCUUAUUUAACCAAUGAGGCCCAGCUCAGUGGGUAAUUGUCAGCCCUUCUACCCAGCUCCUGGGGUUUAUCGCCUCAGGCAUGGCCCUGGUAUCUGUGUGCAGAAGCACACCUGUCAACUCCUCUUUCCCAUCUUAGCAACCUCCUUCCUCUCAGGCCAAUUCCCAGUGCUAAGAACCUGGUUACCCUUCCUCCUUGUGUUUCCAGCAGCUACAAUAACAAAUUGUCACGAAACAUUAUCCUCUCACAUUUCUGGAGGUCAGAAGUCCAAAGCCAGGCUGGCAGCAGGGCUGCGCUCCCUCCAAAGGCUCUAGGGGAGAACGCUGUCUUGCCUCUUCCUCCUCCAGCCUCUGGUGACUGCUGAUGUUCCUUUGCUUGUGGCAGCAGCAUCCAAUCUGUGCUUCUGUCCUCACCCAGCCUGCUUUCCUGUGUGUGACUCUGUGUUCUUUUCUGUCUCUGAAUAGAACCUUCUCAUUUAGGGCCCAUCCUAAUCCAGCAUGAUUGUAUUUCAAUCUUUACCCUCAUCAUGUUUUAAUGACCUGACUUUCAAAUAGGGUCACAUUCUAAGGCUGUGAGUGACAUGACUUUGGAGUGGACGUCAUUCACUCCACCAUACUCAUCUACUUUAUCUUUGUCAAGACUUCAAUGCAAACACAUCUACUUCUUAUACCCCCUGUUUUACCUCCUUUUCCUAUUUUCAACUCCCCAUUCCUUUUUUCCUCAUUUACCCCUUUAAGAAUGACUUAUAAUUUGUGUGCACAAGAUUUGACAAUUCUGCAUUUCUGAAGAGAUGUACAAAGAAAGCCAAGUCCAGAGGCCAGAGGUGAAGCCCGACCUCUGUGUUUCUAACAUCAAGGAUGCUGCCCUGCCCAGGACCAACACCCAGCAAACUUUGGAUGAUGUCAAUAAGGUGAUGUUCACCAACAUCUUCAACAGCGGGCUGAAAGCCAAGCAGACAUGGUCACUCUGCAGUCCUCUGGAAGGCCCAAGAGAGCCCUUGCCUGCUACCUGAAUAGAUGAGGACCUCCGGAGCUACCUGGCCUUUGUGGAUUCCAGACCUCCUGCAUCAGCCGAGCUCCAGGAGAGCCCCAGCAGCGCUCUCUUUUCCUGCUGCCUCGGUGCUCAAGAUGAUGGUCUUUUUGAGUGUCCAGCUGAUUCUGUUGCUCACUUACCAUUGUGUGGGUGCCUCUCUCAUCCCUUGCCCAAGGAAAGCCUACACUUUGAGGUUUUGAAUCUCUCUCAGUGACCUUCAAGGCACUCCCUCCCAGCUGCCUGUGGCCCAGGCUGAAACACAAUGUUUCAUGUGGUUUCAGGGAUGAGGUCACACCCAUUUUCUUUGCAAUAUCCUUAACAAAUUUUCAUUUGCGGGAAAUAAAGAGUAGAUAGGAAAGCAGCCUUUUCUUUCACAUCAUUUCUCCUUAUUCUCUUUUCUUUUUCGUCUUCCUGGUUUUUCUAAAUUCCAACGCCAUCUAAUGAAAAGGGAAAAUGUUACUAAUAGCAAUUUAGCUUAAGUGCAUUGCUUUUAGUAGCCAUGGGGACAAAAAUAUCAAAGAGCCAUAAGUUAAUAGGAUUCAAGAGUAGAAAACUUCUGCAAAGCUACAGGGCACAUCCUGAUGAUACCAGCACAAAGCUGAUGUCCCUUUUCUGCAGAAGAUACACAGUACAGGUGAGCCUGCAGGUCACCCGGCAGCCCUAGAGCAGUAGAAGUAUGUAUCAUGUUAUUAUGUCUGUAGUCCAUGCUGGGGCCUGGGAAGGAGCCAGAGACAGCAUGUUCCCUUUACAUUCCAUGUUUGCCAAAAAGACCCUCUCCACAGCUUUCUCCCAGGGCCUGAUCUAGAAAACCCAGAGAUCCUUAAGUUCCACCCAUCCCUUGCCUUCAGGCUAACUGCUGCUAGAGUAAGAAAAAUGUCCCUGAAUGUGCCUCGUCUCCUGCUGGGAGUAUCACUUGUCAGUCAAAUCAGGUGAAUUAGCAUUUUGUCCCGAUUUACUUUAGAAAAGAAAAUGAAAACUAUCUCUAGAUGCAUUUUUGUAUCCUUUGCUUUGUGUUGUCAAUAAAGAGCUAA
rnacentral:lncRNA from 10 species